rnacentral:tRNA from 1 species
CGUGGCAUUGUGGUUACGACGCCAGGCUCAAACGCCUCUGGUCGUAGUUCGAGUCCGGCCA